rnacentral:rRNA from 1 species
UACGUAGGGUGCAAGCGUUGUCCGGAAUUAUUGGGCGUAAAGAGCUCGUAGGCGGUUCGUCGCGUCGGCUGUGAAAUCCCGGAGCUCAACUCCGGGUCUGCAGUCGAUACGGGCGGACUCGAGUUCGGCAGGGGAGACUGGAACUCCUGGUGUAGCGGUGAAAUGCGCAGAUAUCAGGAGGAACACCGGUGGCGAAGGCGGGUCUCUGGGCCGAUACUGACGCUGAGACGCGAAAGCGUGGGGAGCAAACAGG